UGCAAGUCGAGCGGUAGAGAGAAGCUUGCUUCUCUUGAGAGCGGCGGACGGGUGAGUAAUGCCUAGGAAUCUGCCUGGUAGUGGGGGAUAACGUUCGGAAACGGACGCUAAUACCGCAUACGUCCUACGGGAGAAAGCAGGGGACCUUCGGGCCUUGCGCUAUCAGAUGAGCCUAGGCCGGAUUAGCUAGUUGGUGGGGUAAUGGCUCACCAAGGCGACGAUCCGUAACUGGUCUGAGAGGAUGAUCAGUCACACUGGAACUGAGACACGGUCCAGACUCCUACGGGAGGCAGCAGUGGGGAAUAUUGGACAAUGGGCGAAAGCCUGAUCCAGCCAUGCCGCGUGUGUGAAGAAGGUCUUCGGAUUGUAAAGCACUUUAAGUUGGGAGGAAGGGCAGUAAAUUAAUACUUUGCUGUUUUGACGUUACCGACAGAAUAAGCACCGGCUAACUCUGUGCCAGCAGCCGCGGUAAUACAGAGGGUGCAAGCGUUAAUCGGAAUUACUGGGCGUAAAGCGCGCGUAGGUGGUUAGUUAAGUUGGAUGUGAAAUCCCCGGGCUCAACCUGGGAACUGCAUUCAAAACUGACUGACUAGAGUAUGGUAGAGGGUGGUGGAAUUUCCUGUGUAGCGGUGAAAUGCGUAGAUAUAGGAAGGAACACCAGUGGCGAAGGCGACCACCUGGACUGAUACUGACACUGAAGUGCGAAAGCGUGGGGAGC
rnacentral:rRNA from 1 species